CUCAUAUUAUAAGUAAAAUAUUAAUACUUUGUGUCUCCAGCCAGUUCUUGAUCAAAGGAAGAUGCAUUAACAAUUCGUGUCUCCAACCGGUUUAGAUCAUAGGAAACUAUGGCAUAAUGCACUGCUGAAUUUUCUUGUUAGUGCUCACUCACAAUAUUUGUUCUCACGUACGGUAAUGCCUUUCGGUUAAACUAGGAAUUAGUUCAUUAUUGAAAGGUUUCAUCUGCAUAUUUUUUUGCUUCAUUCAUUUUUGGUCUAUUUAUUUUGCAUAGAAAACCAUCUUUGGUAUGCUUUAAUAGGGCUUAUUUAAUACAGUACAAGCAAAAUUGGAAGUAAUAGCAAACCAGCCAUGAAAAGUUUGAGAGACCAUGCAAACCACAAGAAAUGAUGUGCUCCUGUUAUUUUGCCAUGAUCUUGUGGCCCAAUUCCAAGGCUCUAUCAACUAAUGUUAGCUACUUGCUUCUUUGGAUGCCUUAAUUAGAGCCAGGGAGGAAGAUGGGGAAGACAGAGCCAGCAAGGAAGAUGGCUCGGCCCUGCCGCUGAUGCCCACCGGCCACUUUCGUCAGGCUCCGUCGUGGGAGGGGGCGCACCAUUUUUGGGUGUUCCUUCCUACAGCUAUCUUGACCAUUUGCUUUGGAAGGAGUAAUUCAACUCUGGAAGAACAAAUAAUUUGAGACUUUUUGUCUUUCCUACGAUCUGUUCAGGAACUGUAUCACAACAGAUCAUUGGCAUUGUAGCUUCAGUGGACAUGUAUGCUGAAUAUCCCCUCACAGGACAAGAUUGGAUUUUAGUGUAUACAAGCCCUCCUCUCAGCUGCUCAGGCAUAAACACCUUACUGCAAAUGUUCUUCGUGUCUCGCCUCCCCGUCGUGAUGGGUGGCUCCUACAGCUUCGCCAUGCCAACCAUCUCCAUCAUCUUGGCUAGACGCUAC